AGCGAACGCUGGCGGCAGGCUUAACACAUGCAAGUCGAGCGGGCAUCCUUGUGGUGUCCGCGGCAGACGGGUGAGUAACGCGUGGGAACGUGCCCUUCGGUUCGGAAUAACUCAGGGAAACUUGAGCUAAUACCGGAUACGUGCGAGAACAGAAAGGUUUAUCUGCCGAAGGAUCGGCCCGCGUCUGAUUAGCUAGUUGGUGAGGUUAUGGCUCACCAAGGCGACGAUCAGUAGCUGGUCUGAGAGGAUGAUCAGCCACACUGGGACUGAGACACGGCCCAGAGCGGAAGGGAGGGUGGAGGUGAGGAGGAUGAGACGGGGGUGCUGACCCGGAUCCAGCUGUGGGGGGUGAGUGAGGACGGUGUUGGGGUUGAAAAGCUAUUGGCUGGGGGACGGGAAUGCGGGUAAGGGAGGAAUACCCGCCGGCAAAGUGCGAGACAGCAGCUGGGGGAGUAGUCGGAAGACCACACGUCUAAC
rnacentral:rRNA from 1 species